rnacentral:tRNA from 1 species
UAGUUCACUGGUAGAACAUUUGCCUAGCAUGCACAAGGCCUGGGUUCAAUCCCCAG